rnacentral:rRNA from 1 species
GAUGAACGCUGGCGGCGUGCCUAAUACAUGCAAGUCGAGCGAACGGACGAGAAGCUUGCUUUUCUGAUGUUAGCGGCGGACGGGUGAGUAACACGUGGAUAACCUACCUAUAAGACUGGGAUAACUUCGGGAAACCGGAGCUAAUACCGGAUAAUAUUUUGAACCGCAUGGUUCAAAAGUGAAAGACGGUCUUGCUGUCACUUAUAGAUGGAUCCGCGCUGCAUUAGCUAGUUGGUAAGGUAACGGCUUACCAAGGCAACGAUGCAUAGCCGACCUGAGAGGGUGAUCGGCCACACUGGAACUGAGACAGGGUCCAGACUCCUACGGGAGGCACCAGUAGGGAAUCUUCCGCAAUGGGCGAAAGCCUGACGGAGCAACGCCGCGUGAGUGAUGAAGGUCUUCGGAUCGUAAAACUCUGUUAUUAGGGAAGAACAUAUGUGUAAGUAACUGUGCACAUCUUGACGGUACCUAAUCAGAAAGCCACGGCUAACUACGUG